rnacentral:rRNA from 1 species
UAAUGAGACUGCCAACGACAAGUUGGAGGAAGGUGGGGAUGACGUCAAAUCAUCAUGCCCUUUAUGACCUGGGCUACAAACGUACUACAAUGGCCAAUACAAAGAGAUGCGAAGCGGUGACGUGAAGCGAACCUCAGAAAGUUGGUCUCAGUUCAGAUUGAAGUCUGCAACUCGACUUCAUGAAGGCGGAAUCGCUAGUAAUCGCGGGUCAGCAGACCGCGGUGAAUACGUUCCCGGGUUU